UUAAGGAGAUAGCUCAGUCUGUAGAGCAUGAAAUCUCAAGGAUCGUGGGUUCGAGUCCCACAUUGGGCAAAA